ACUACGGGAGGCAGCAGUGGGGGAUAUUGCACAAUGGGGGGAACCCUGAUGCAGCGACGCCGCGUGGGUGAAGAAGCGCCUCGGCGCGUAAAGCGCUGUCAGCAGGGAAGAAAAUGACGGUACCUGAAGAAGAAGCCCCAGCUAACUACGUGCCAGCAGCCGCGGUAAUACGUAGGGGGCAAGCGUUAUCCGGAUUUACUGGGUGUAAAGGGGGCGCAGACGGCGAUGCAAGCCAGGAGUGCAAGCCCGGGGCCCAACCCCGGGACUGCGCGUGGAACUGCGUGGCUGGAGUGCAGGAGGGGAAGGCGGAAUUCCUGGUGUAGCGGUGAAAUGCGUAGAUAUCAGGAGGAACACCGGUGGCGAAGGCGG
rnacentral:rRNA from 1 species